rnacentral:sRNA from 1 species
UGAUCCUGAUGCUGAAAACGUUCCACGC